rnacentral:sRNA from 1 species
GCCGGGCAUGGUGGCGCAUGCCUGUGAUCCCAGCAGCUAGGGAGGCUGAGACCAGAGGAUGACGAGUUCAAAGUCAGCCUCAGCACUGGCGAGGUGCUAAGCAAAUCAGUGAGAACCUGUCUCUA